rnacentral:snoRNA from 1 species
AACGGCACAAUCCGAGGACAACACGACAACAUCGUUCGUGUUUCUGCCUUCUGGUAGUUCCGAAGAUUU